rnacentral:rRNA from 1 species
CUAGGCUUGACAUGGCCGGGAAAGCCAGGGGAAACCUUGGCCCCUCUUCGGAGUCCGGUCACAGGUGCUGCAUGGCUGUCGUCAGCUCGUGUCGUGAGAUGUUGGGUUAAGUCCCGCAACGAGCGCAACCCUUGUCACUAGUUACCAGCGGGUAAAGCCGGGCACUCGAGUGAGACUGCCGGUGCCAAACCGGAGGAAGGUGGGGAUGACGUCAAGUCAUCAUGGUCCUUACGUCUAGGGCUACACACGUGCUACAAUGGACGCGACAACGGGUUGCCAACCCGCAAGGGGGAGCCAAUCCCACAAAUGCGUCCUCAGUUCGGAUUGUCGUCUGCAACUCGACGGCAUGAAGCUGGAAUCGCUAGUAAUCGCGGAUCAGCUACGCCGCGGUGAAUACGUUCCC